GGAGAGGGUGGCUCGGUCUCGAAAACCGGAGUGGGGGUAACUCCACCGUGGGUUCAAAUCCCACCCUCUCCGCCA
rnacentral:tRNA from 1 species